UGGGGAAUCUUGCGCAAUGGGCGAAAGCCUGACGCAGCAACGCCGCGUGAGCGAAGAAGGCCUUCGGGUUGUAAAGCUCUGUCAGGGGGAAAGAAGGCACCUGGGUUAACAGCCCAAGGGCUGACGGUACCUCCAAAGGAAGCCACGGCUAACUACGUGCCAGCAGCCGCGGUAAUACGUAGGUGGCAAGCGUUGUCCGGAAUCAUUGGGCGUAAAGAGCGCGUAGGUGGCUUGUCAGGUCUGAUGUGAAAACCUGGGGCUUAACUCCAGGCCUGCAUCGGAAACCGGCUUGCUAGAGUCUGGGAGAGGAGAGUGGAAUUCCUGGUGUAGCGGUGAAAUGCGUAGAUAUCAGGAGGAACACCGGUAGCGAAGGCGGCUCUCUGGAACAGUACUGACGCUGAGGCGCGAAAGCUAGGGGAGCGAACAG
rnacentral:rRNA from 1 species